rnacentral:snRNA from 1 species
GAUCAAAGUGUAGUAUCUGUUCUUAUCAGCUUAAUAUCUGAUACGUCCCCUAUCCGGGGACAUCGAUAUUAAACUGAUUUUUGGACUUAGGAGAAGAUGCAGGGGCUUGCUCCGGCUUCUCCACGGGUUGGCC